AUGUGUAUGUGUAUAUGUAUUAUUGCAGAGAGAACAUAAUAUUGAGGUUGUGUCUCUGAAGUCUCAGAAAGUCUCUGUAUUUAAUAUUAAUUUAAUUAUUUUAAUAAAGAUUAACAAUAAUGGUUCGAAGAUGUAUUGUUUGUGAUAUAACGUAUUCAUCAAAAAAUAGUGUUUCUUUUUACUCUUUUCCAACAAAUGAAAAAUAUAAAAAAUUAUGGAUGGAUGUGUGCAAUAUAAGUGAAAUCACGAAAGAAAGCAGAGUAUGUUCACGUCACUUCAGUUCAUCUCAUUUGCAAUGGACUAAUAGAUCUCGAAAAAUUUUACAACCAAAUGCAAUUCCAUUAUUAUUUCUUGGAAAAAGAAAAAAGUAUCUAAAAAGAAAGAGAAGUACUAAAAAGUAUGUUUCUCUCUCUAACCUCCUCCGGAUACUGCUUCUCUACAGAAACUAUAGGCAAUUGCCAGUCCAUAUCUGUAAGGUCUAUGUUAAAAACAUGAACAUGAACUACGAGGACAAAUCCACGUCAGAGAGAAGACUGAGAGGUGUUAUGGCCCGCUUUUAGGUGAUCCCUGAAAGCGAUACUCCCUCUGUUAAUUUAAAAAACGUGGACAUGAACUACAAAGCCAAAGUCCACGAAAGUUCUCAGAGGGUAACAUAUAUGUGCACAAUUUCUGAUUAUGUUCCGUGCUAUGUAAAAAAUGCCUGUAGUACACGAAAUGCCAUCAGUGCUGUAUAGCAAAA